rnacentral:lncRNA from 1 species
AAUUGCGCCUGCGCAGUCUAGGAGUAGUGGCGGAAAAGACGAUGGGAGAGGCAUUGCGCCUGCGCAGUUGAGGAGUGGUGGCGGAAGAGAUGGUAAAGCACUUGUUGACACAUAACCUGGACUAAGCAUUGUUGGAGGAUCAGGACUUUAAGGUCAUCCUUGUCUACACAGUAUGUUCCAGGCCAGCCUGAGCUACAUGAGACCCUGUGUCCAAAAGUAAAGAGAACAUGGAAAAGAGCAUCAAGAAAGAAUGUCUGUGUGACAGCUAAAAAGCAUGAGAAAACAGGAAGACAACAGAGAGAAGUGGGACGCAGUAUGAGCUCCAAACCCAGCUGCGGGGCGUGGGUAGAGAGCCAAAGUCGAAACCACGUGGAAAGCCAGACAGCCCCAUGACAACAGACUGGCCAUCCUGUAUAGAAACGAAACCCCUGGUUUCAGAAAACCUUCCAUCCAGUGGGGGAAUGUGAUGUGGCAGUAACUCCCCCUGUGCGGCAAGAUGGCUUUGGGAGAAAAAAUGCACAGUGUACUCCCCCCUGUAUUGUGGACUGCUGUGCCAGGGGGCAUGUUCAUAGCACCACUGCUCCCAAUAACCAAAAGCUAAAAACUGCCCGAAUGCCCAUCAACUUUUGAAUGGCUAAACAAAGCAUACAUAGUAUUACCAUACAAUGAAUUAUUUUUCUUCAGCCGUGAAAAAAAUGAAGCACCGAUCCAGGCUACGACGUGACUGAACUUUGAAGAUGUUACUCUAAGAGAAAGAAGCCAAUCACAAAUGGGUGCGUUUAUGGGAAACUCACAUAACAGGCAAGCCCACCAUAAUAGAAAAAAGGUUAGAGGUUCCUGGAGCAUGAAACUAAGGAGUAACUGUGAGGAGACAUUACAGUGUGGGUACGGGGCCUCCUUCUGAGGUGAUGAAAAUUCUAGAACCAGACACUGUUGAUGAUUGCACAACUUUGUGGAUGUAUUUUCUGGCCAGAGCAGGGGAUCUGAGCACCAGAACCCCACCUCCACCCCACCCUACCGCACCCACCCUUGUGGCACCAAGCCUUAAGUAGCAGCACCUCUGAUGACCACCGUAGUCUCUGAGAAUUUCUGACUUGGUGGCUGAGGGGAUGAGGUGACAGUAUUCCCCCUAAAAUAACCUCUGAGGGUGACCAGUGCUCAGAAUCCUGUCCCCGACAAAACAUCGAAUCUGACAGGUUUCAGGAUGCAGCUUGAAUGCUUCAUACGCCCCAGGAUUCUGAAACUCUUGGCAACUCGUUGCUCUCCCUUUCCAGAUCCUGGCUAAUGAGGAAACUGUGCAAAGGACAGAGAGCGCUGAAACCCCAGUGGAACUGAAAGAGUAGCCUCUGAAGAAGGGAGUCCAGGAAGAUGGGGGGUGAGAAACCCUGCAAAGGCCCUGCCAGGACCCCCUCUCUAUGUAUGACUGGGCUGUUUUUCCUCUAAUUCCCUGAGGUUUUACCCCUUAAAUGUGGUCACUUUGACCAUCAUUGACAGCCACUCACAACACAAGAACAUCUGUGAUCAGGUUUUCAUGGCAUUAAGAGCAGGAACUGCUCAGUCCCCUGUUACUUCAGAGCCAUCACAUCAAAUAUGGCACACAGGAACUGCUUUGCAAAUGGUUGCUAAACUCGGUAAGUUUAAUUUUAUGUCAAAUAGCCCUAGUUGUGUAUCUGACCUGCACUGAAACACAAAUUCAAAGCCGAAUCUUUUUUUUUUUUUUUUGGUUCUUUUUUUCGGAGCUGGGGAUCGAACCCAGGACCUUGAGCUUCCUAGGCAAGCGCUCUAUCACUGAGCUAAAUCCCCAACCCCUCAAAGCCGAAUCUUGUUCCUGCUUCCAUGCCUGUUUAACAGGAGUAACGGGAGACACUCUAAAUGGCUCAGGUUCCUGUCUAGUUCUGUCUCUGUUUUAGUAAUAACACAGCCAACAUCUCCAUGAAGCUGAGUAUACACAAGGUUUUUGGUUUGUCUUGAGACAAGGUCUCUCUCUCUCUCUCUCUCUCUCUCUCUCUCUCUCUCUCUCUCUGUGUGUGUGUGUGUGUGUGUGUCUGUGUGUCUGUGUGUGUUUGUGUCUGUGUGUGUGUCUCUCUGUGUGUGUCUGUGUCUCUGUGUGUGUGUAUGUGUGUGUGUUUGUGUCUGUGUGUGUAUGUGUGUGUGUUUGUGUCUGUGUGUGUAUGUGUGUGUGUGUCUCUGUGUGUGUAUGUGUAUGUGUUUGUGUCUCUGUGUGUUUGUGUCUCUGUGUGUGUGUGUCUGUAUGUGUCUGUGUGUGUCUGUGUGUGUGUUUGUGUCUCUGUGUGUGUCUGUGUCUCUGUGUGUGUGUGUCUGUAUGUGUGUCUGUGUGUGUAUGUGUGUGUUUGUGUGCCUGUGUGUGUAUGUGUGUGUAUGUGUUUGUGUCUCUGUGUGUGUGUAUGUGUGUGUCUCUGUGUGUGUUUGUGUCUGUGGGGUGUGUGUGUGUGUGUGUGUGUGUGUGUGUGUGUACUGACUGAAGACUGGCCUCAAGCUCACAGUCCUAUCUCAGCC